rnacentral:rRNA from 1 species
UAGGUGAACCUUCGGAAGGAUCA